UAGGGAAUCUUCCGCAAUGGACGAAAGUCUGACGGAGCAACGCCGCGUGAGCGAAGAAGGUCUUCGGAUCGUAAAGCUCUGUUGUCAGGGAAGAACAAGUACCGUUCGAACAGGGCGGUACCUUGACGGUACCUGACCAGAAAGCCACGGCUAACUACGUGCCAGCAGCCGCGGUAAUACGUAGGUGGCAAGCGUUGUCCGGAAUUAUUGGGCGUAAAGCGCGCGCAGGCGGUCUCUUAAGUCUGAUGUGAAAGCCCACGGCUCAACCGUGGAGGGUCAUUGGAAACUGGGAGACUUGAGUGCAGAAGAGGAGAGCGGAAUUCCACGUGUAGCGGUGAAAUGCGUAGAGAUGUGGAGGAACACCAGUGGCGAAGGCGGCUCUCUGGUCUGUAACUGACGCUGAGGCGCGAAAGCGUGGGGAGCGAACA
rnacentral:rRNA from 1 species